rnacentral:rRNA from 1 species
GCGCGUACCAUGCAGUCGAAGCGGAGCGAGGGUGCUUGCACCUUAGCUUAGCGGCGGACGGGUGAGUAAUGCUUAGGAAUCUGCCUAUUAGUGGGGGACAACAUUCCGAAAGGGAUGCUAAUACCGCAUACGCCCUAAGGGGGAAAGCAGGGGAUCUUCGGACCUUGCGCUAAUAGAUGAGCCUAAGUCGGAUUAGCUAGUUGGUGGGGUAAAGGCCUACCAAGGCGACGAUCUGUAGCGGGUCUGAGAGGAUGAUCCGCCACACUGGGACUGAGACACGGCCCAGACUCCUACGGGAGGCAGCAGUGGGGAAUAUUGGACAAUGGGCGGAAGCCUGAUCCAGCCAUGCCGCGUGUGUGAAGAAGGCCUUUUGGUUGUAAAGCACUUUAAGCGAGGAGGAGGCUACUAGUAUUAAUACUACUGGAUAGUGGACGUUACUCGCAGAAUAAGCACCGGCUAACUCUGUGCCAGCAGCCGCGGUAAUACAGAGGGUGCGAGCGUUAAUCGGAUUUACUGGGCGUAAAGCGUGCGUAGGCGGCUUUUUAAGUCGGAUGUGAAAUCCCCGAGCUUAACUUGGGAAUUGCAUUCGAUACUGGGAAGCUAGAGUAUGGGAGAGGAUGGUAGAAUUCCAGGUGUAGCGGUGAAAUGCGUAGAGAUCUGGAGGAAUACCGAUGGCGAAGGCAGCCAUCUGGCCUAAUACUGACGCUGAGGUACGAAAGCAUGGGGAGCAAACAGGAUUAGAUACCCUGGUAGUCCACGCCGUAAACGAUGUCUACUCGGAGUUUGGUGUCUUGAACACUGGGCUCUCAAGC